AGAUAAUGAGUCUUGUGCUGCUCCGCAGGGGCUUUAUGUCGGCUCUGGUAUGAGGAAGCUCCUGUCAGACCCGCAGUGGUUAAUGGGGUCAUAUUCUGCUCUUUAAUAGCAUUUUGAUACUUUCCCCCCCUGAAUUCCACUUACGAAGAAGAGUGACUGACCCCUAAAGAAAACCGAGAGACAAACCAACAUCCCAGAAUGUGGAUUGCACUGUUUGUAUCUGGCCGCCAUCCUACAGAUUCCUUGGAAUGGUAUAGGGCUUGUGUUGGACACCGAAUGAAAUAUAUGAGCAUUAAUUGAGGAGGUCAAGAAUUCAGACUUGGAAUGCGACCUCUGACCUCUCUUUGAGCAUGAAUGCCAGCGACGCAGCAGGUGUGGAGAUGAGGUUAAUCGGCCCUCUGUCCUUCAGCCGACACGUGCACAGACACUGCCCACCACAAUCCCUUCAUUGUGCCUGAAUUAAGCAAAAGGUAUAUGAUUCGACUCGUCUCUCUUCUGAAACCUGGCGUGGAAGGUCACUCCCCCCAUUCUGUAAGACGGAAAAAUCAACCUGAUGCGGCCUGAAAGAGCAGAUCAAUUCCCAUUCACGCGUUAAGCCUCCCGCAGUGAGAGGGCUGGAAUUCAAGCCCAAAUGUAAUUUAGCGUACGGCAGUCAAGGGUGAGUAAUAUGGCAGGAAGGAUGGUGAUUUAAACGGCUUUUACAUGACUGGAGCACACCCAAAGAAAGACUCCAGAUUUAUUGCCACCAGUUGAGGUGAUGCAUUGCUACUUUACCCCCCUCCAUCCCUUAAGGCUGUUGCGCGGCGGCCAAUCGGUGGGUUUCUAACUCUGAGCUCAGUGUUGCAUCAUGUCUAGAUAAACGAGACAAAUACAGCAGGCAUCAGGGUGGUCGUGGCAACCCGUUCCAGCACCAGAGGAAGUCUCAGAGAUUCAUUUUUCAAUGUAUUUCCUCCUUUCUGCCUCUCGGCUAGACGGACAUGUCGAAACUUUCAGCGCGUGCUGAAAAAGUUGGAGAGCUUUUUCCAUUCUCACAUACAUUACUCAGCCGUGACUGUUGCAUGGGUAUUGCAUUAUGAAAAG